rnacentral:lncRNA from 1 species
UUACAGCUUGAGGAAGGAGAAGAAUGAGGAAGUCACCAAGCUAGCUGGAUUGCACAGAGGACCCAGGGCGGCUGGAUGGGCUCUUCCAGAACGGAACUGUUUAGUCUGUGAACAAAGGGUUGCAUGGAUGAGGCCAGAGGGAGUCCGGUCCCCGCGGGCCCCUCACCUGAUCUCUCUCAGCCUCUGUUUUCAACAAUAACCACAGUGACAUCCACACCUGCUCAGAGGCCUGCAAGAACGGCCAGGGAGACUCUUGAAAAACUUUCUUUUUCUUUUUGUUUUUGAACAGGGUCUUGCUGAAUCUGCCAAGCUGGUCUCCCACUCUGAUCCUCAGGCCUCAGCCUCCCGAGGAGCCCGGGUAACCCGUGGGCACCGCGGUAUCUAGCCUGAAGCCCCUUUGUGCUCUGCAGUGAGACAUCUGCAGUGAAAAUCAGAUCAACCUUUUUUCCGCCUUCCUGCCUUUCCCACCAGAGAGACAAAGGAAGUGGAAGUGGGUCUUUCUCCUCUUCUGCACCAGCUCCGGGACCUCAGCUCAGAUUCCCCAGGGAGCCCUCCCCCCACCAGGUCCCUCUGGGGUGGGGGCAUGAACUGGAAGCAGCCACUGGCUCAGCCCUCUGACUGCCCUUGAAGGGACUCUGCUGGUCCCUGAGUGGUCACGUGGAGUUCUAGCUGGGGACACUGCCAGCCGAGAAACCAAAGCUUUGGCUUUGGUCUGCUAAACAGCAACUUCCAAUUCCACCUAAGGGAUCCCCAGGGUGGGAGGCCGCAGGCCCUGGUGGAGUGAAGUGAGCUGACUGUCACUCUGGUCCUAGGACACCAUUUUUACUUCAUAUUUGUUGUUUAUUUUAUUUGUUUUUAGUUUGGAGUACUAGGGGUUGAACCCCGGGGGGCCCUACCCCUGAGCCACAACCUCAGCCCUUUUUAUGUUUUUAUUUUUUAUUUUGAGACAAGGUCUUGCUGACUUGCUUAGGCCCUCCCUGAAUUGCUGAGGCUGGCUUUGAAUUUGAGAUCCUCCUGCCUCCGCCACCUCCUGAGUCACUGGGACUAUAUAGGCAUGUGUCACCACCCCACCCGGUUUAACUGCAUCUUUGUACAAGUGCCCCACAGGGCAAGUGGUUAUCUGUGACCCAUAAUUUGUGAGAUCUUUAAUUUAAUAUAAUUAUAAGGAUACUCCUGAAAUUCACGUCCAAAUAACUGAAGGCUCCUCCAGAUGACUGUUCAAGUACAUCUCUUCCUCCUCCUUUCUCUUUCAUGUCUCUUCCCCUAACUGACGCUUCAAUCCAGAAUUUACACACACACA